rnacentral:tRNA from 1 species
GGCCUCGUAGCUCAGCUGGUAGAGCAUGCGCGUACAAAGCGUACGCGGUGGGUUCGGAUCCCACCGAGGCUA